CCUACGGGAGGCAGCAGUGAGGAAUAUUGGUCAAUGGACGGAAGUCUGAACCAGCCAUGCCGCGUGCAGGAAGACGGCCCUAUGAGUUGUAAACUGCUUUUGUACAAGGGUAAACCUGUACACGUGUAUUCAGCUGUAAGUACCGUACGAAUAAGGAUCGGCUAACUCCGUGCCAGCAGCCGCGGUAGUACGGAGGAUCCAAGCGUUAUCCGGAUUUAUUGGGUUUAAAGGGUGCGUAGGUGGAUUGUUAAGUUAGUGGUGAAAUGUCCGGGCUUAACCCGGGAACUGCCUUUAAUACUGGUGGUCUAGAGAGUAGAUGCGGUAGGCGGAAUGUGUGGUGUAGCGGUGAAAUGCAUAGAUAUCACGAAGAACUCCGAUUGCGAAGGCAGCAUACCGGCGCCCAACUGACGCUGAGGCACGAAAGCGUGGGUAUCGAACAGGAUUAGAUACCCCUGUAGUC
rnacentral:rRNA from 1 species